GUUUGGUCUGGGCGUGCGAACGAGAGAAGGAACCAAGGGAACCAAAACCCUAAACAACCUAAAAUCAUCAAAUUGAAAGGGGAAUCGAGGGCUGAUCGAAUGCAUGAGUCUAGAUACCCUUUAAUCUAAGUGUAUUGAUCAUAAGGAACGUGUCAAGGAGAGCUCAAGCAUAGGAGGAUAACGGGUCAAGAUAAGGCAAGGUGACAAAUACACUUAUUGGAAUACUCAAGGUGAUGAAUGUCGGACUUUCGAAGUGUUGAUAUAAUAAUGAAACGGUUGAAUGUUGAAAGGAUAAUCGGACUGAAGUAACUUAUGCGGUAAAUCCUCAAUUUUGGCGACUUGGAGAAUCGGAGCGAGCGCGUGUUCGUGUUAUGCGAUACCAAACGCUUCCGCUAGUUUGUUCAAGUGUUUUUGACCCAAAAUUUGUUGUAUUGGUUUUUAGUAGUAUCUUGUUGAACGAAUUGUAGAAUUGUAUCUAGUUUGUUUAUGUUUAAAACAGGGGUAUGCUCGUUUUAUGGACGGGUCAUGCCCGAUUUUUUGUUAAAUUAUAGUUUGAUAAUAUCACAUUUAGGAAGGUGAAAUUUUGG
rnacentral:lncRNA from 1 species